rnacentral:lncRNA from 1 species
GAUCAUGUAUUUUUAAAUUUUUUUUUAUAACACAUACUUUAAUGAUGAACAUUUCUCAUGGAUAGAUAAAAAAUAUCGAUAAAAAUUGGAUGAAUACUCGCUCUAUCAUCUUACCUGAAUACCGACAAGGUGUUAGGGAUUUUAUAAGAUUUGUAUGAGAAAGAGUUGAUGAUCCCAAUAGAAUCAAAUAUCCUUGUCAGAGAUGUCACAACAAUUACUUCUUGCCUAC